UAGCUCCUCAUUGCUGUUGAGAACAACCCUCCAGAAAUCCCUGAUGAUCUCUGUACAUACCUGGUUGAUAAAAAGUUACUGAAGUGCAACAGGGCAGAAGCCACUUCUGUGUGUCUGUGGUGGACCUUGAACUCACUAAGAAUAUUAAACAGAAUCAGGAGUACAUGGAGCAAAAGAGCUGUGAGGAUUUAGACUAAAGAUGAUUCACAGGGCUUGAUAUAAAAGGCAGCAGCUGAAUAAAACCUUUUCAGAGAAGAGAAUGAUAAAACCACAAUACAAGGACAGGGAAUUGAAAGCCUACUGGACUGAAUUUCAUUGUUUUCUUCUGAUUAAUACUGCAAAUUGAAAGCCACUGUGUUUAACCUGUGCUGAUGGUACAGUUGCUGUAAUUAAGCAUAAGAAUAUGGUCUUACAACUCAUGCAUGCCAAUUGUUUCAUACAAAGCACCUGGUAAAUUUGCCAGUACAUACAGUAUUAAAUCUACAACAGAGGCAUCCACCCACCAAAGGCUGCCAUUGUUACUUUUUUAAUCGAUCCACAGUAUUCUGCCACAUCUUCACUUCCCAAUUCCUGAGCAAAAAAGAAGUAAUGGAGCCUUUCACAGAUGGUGAGGUAGCAAAGGGAUGUGUUGUUUUAGCCGUGUGGGAAGGAAGGGGUUGUGCUACAAAGGAAGAUAAAACCCAGCAAGUGUAACAAAUCUGGAAAAUUCCAUUAUCAUAUGCCUUGUCUCAUCACUCUUACCAUCUGACUGACUGAUUUAAUGUUGCUAAGAGACUUGACAGACCAACUUGUUAGCAUUAGAUACUGCACAUAGUAGUUAUUGAUAAAUCAAUUGUUACCACUAAUUUUACUCCAAUAGGGUUGCUAUUUCUGUAGUCAGGAGUUGGCUGAAGGAUCUGUUUGUGUUCACUCGUUUCCUUUCCCUCCUCCUCCACGUAACUGGUUCUCUUUUUUAUUUCCUAAGUAUUUUUGGUGAUUUCAUGGUAGGAAGACAAGCUAGAAGCCAAGAGAAUAAAAUUAUCCUCAGGCACAAAUGCAGAAA